rfam:Streptomyces variegatus strain NRRL B-16380 contig-153, whole genome shotgun sequence.
GAGCUGUCGAAGGUGGGACUGGCGAUUGGGACGAAGUCGUAACAAGGUAGCCGUACCGGAAGGUGCGGCUGGAUCACCUCCUUU